AACAUUCUCCAAAGCACGAUGAUGGGGUUUUCAUGCUAAUAUGUGAAAUGUGCCUCCCUCAAACCUUGUUACGACAAAAUUCUCCCCUAUAUGAGU
ensembl:snoRNA